GUGAACGCUGGCGGUAGGCCUAACACAUGCAAGUCGAACGGCAGCACCGUAAGAGCUUGCUCUUCCGGGUGGCGAGUGGCGGACGGGUGAGGAAUACAUCGGAAUCUACUUUUUCGUGGGGGAUAACGUAGGGAAACUUACGCUAAUACCGCAUACGACCUACGGGUGAAAGCAGGGGAUCUUCGGACCUUGCGCGAUUGAAUGAGCCGAUGUCGGAUUAGCUAGUUGGCGGGGUAAAGGCCCACCAAGGCGACGAUCCGUAGCUGGUCUGAGAGGAUGAUCAGCCACACUGGAACUGAGACACGGUCCAGACUCCUACGGGAGGCAGCAGUGGGGAAUAUUGGACAAUGGGCGCAAGCCUGAUCCAGCCAUACCGCGUGGGUGAAGAAGGCCUUCGGGUUGUAAAGCCCUUUUGUUGGGAAAGAAAAGCAGCAGGUUAAUACCCCGCUGUUCUGACGGUACCCAAAGAAUAAGCACCGGCUAACUUCGUG
rnacentral:rRNA from 1 species